rnacentral:rRNA from 1 species
AACCAGUAAGUUAAGUUAUAUAUCUUGGUAAAAAGACAGUUAGACAAAAAUUAGUUUAUCGAUUUUCUUUAUAAAAGUAAAAUUUAAUAUAGAUACAAUAGAAUAAUAAUAACUUCAUUGUUGAAUCUGUGAUAUCUUUAAGGGAAACUGGGAUUGGAUACCCCAUUAUUUCUAGAAGUAAAUAAAGAAAUUUACCAGAGUACUACAAAUAAAAUAAUUUAAAACUCAAAGAGCUUGGCGGUAUUUUAGACCACUUAGGGGAACCUGUCUCAUAAUCGACAAUCCACGUUAAACCUUACCUUUUUUAGUAAUCAACUUGUAUACCGUUGUCAUCAGGUAACUUUUAAAGAAAAAAGAAGUUAGCUAGAAAAUUUAUUUAAAUUAAGAUGUCAAAUCAAGGUGCAGUUUAUAAAAAGGAGAAGAUGGGUUACAAUUAUAAAUUAUAAUAUGGAUAUGCAUAUUGUAAUAAGGCUUGAAGGAGGACUUAAAAGUAAAUUUUUAUAUCAAAAUAAUUUGAACAAGGCUCUAAAAUGUGC